UCUUCCACCUCCCGCGCACCGCGCCGCCGCCUCUACUCUACGCACCCUGCUCCACCCACUCCCGGCCGCCACUCCUCUCGUUUCCCAAGCUCCCCGCAUGCCUCGCCGCGCUGCUCCACUCCCCCCUCCUGUGUUCCCCUAACCCGUCGGCAGCAUCUCCACUUCCUCCCAUACCCUCCUCCCUCCCUUCCUUUCCCCCUCCCUACCCCCUCAGAUCUGCUCGGGGCGAACUCCGCCGGCCGGGCGAGCGCAGCGCGAGCUCCACGCGGGCCGGGCACAUGGCCGGGCAAUAGAUUCGCUCCGCUCUCCGGGCUGGAGUCCUGGCCCGGACCGCCCGGUGGCGGUGAAGGACAGCGCACGCAGCCGUGGAGGUGGAGGUGGAGCCCCGGGGACACUGCGGCAGCAGCUCGCAUCGCGUCGGCCCCUAGAGGAUGGGGAGGCGGAACGCGGUGGCGGCACCACGACCUUGGUCCACGCAGUCAGCCCCUCAUCGACGGAGAGGCGGGGCGCAUGGCUGGUAAUAGAGUGAGGCUCCCGUCCUAGUCAACUGUGGUGUGCAGGACCAACUCCCCUCCCCUUCCCCUUCUUGGUAUUGUUGAAUCAUUUGCUUCUCGUUGGCCGACCAAAUACAAGCAUGGUUUAGUAGUUUAAUUUGUGGUUUCUAAACAUCUGUGCAGAUCAAGAAUUUGCGUGAUUUAAUUGGAUACGUGGUCUUAGUGGUCUUAGUUAAAACAUAUGUGUCCCAACUGUUUGUUGAAAUGCCUCGCUGGAAUGACUAGUGUGGAUUUUUGUAUACACAGCAAGCAUGUCUUUACUGCUUAAUCAAAUACAAGUCCCUGAAUGUGGAGUGUCGCUUCAUCUUUUUUUUGUUGUUCAGAUCUGCGUUAGGCUAGUGCUAGACUGCUAGUAGAUUGGGUUUUUUUUAUUGGAUAGUAUUGUGCAAUUAUUCUGCAUUAGCAUUGAGUGCUCUCUUUGCUUGCAUGAUGACUAGUAUCUUGCUUGCUAGCUAAUUUAGCUUGUGCUGCUAGACUAAGUAGGUAUUAAUUGAAGGUAGCUGGCAACUCAUCUGACAGCAUCUCCUAUUCAGGUUAAGUAAAAAAAUAAUUGCUUCUUCAUCUACUAUUUUCCUCUCUGUUCUUUCAACUUCGAGUUGUUAAGUUUCUAGACACAUAACUAAAAUUAUUGCCAUUUUGCAUUGCCUGCAAAGGUUUUUUAUUGGAGUUGACUCUUUCAGUAUAUUCCGGACAGUUGCAAGGUUUUUAGAAUCAGUUGGUGAUAUGAAAGUAGAGGUAAUUUCUUUGUCAAUAGCACACAAGUUUUAACUAUGCGCGGACUUAAUAGAUUUCGAUCCAUUCUAUUCCUAUGUGAUACUGUCCUUUUAUGAUUAGCUUUUGUAUGUGCUGAUAGUUUUCAGCGUUUGGACUGGCAGAUGCAAAAUCCAAACUGCAUGGUGAUGGUUGACAAUUGUUAUGGUCGUCUUCUGCCAGAGGGGGAGAUAGUAGACAAGGUGAGAGGGAGGACAACACACCCCAUUGCAAGAGAUUGAAAAUGUCAAGAUGUCAACUAAGGGGUUGAUCCAUUACUUUUUUUUGUUACCUUCUAAUUUAUGAUGAAAUAUCACUACAUAUUUUCUUUUAUUUUGUGAAAAUUUGUGUUGUAAUUCUGAAGAUGGGUUGUAACAGCGUAUUGUGAUUUCCAUUUUAAUAAAUGGGCCAUGUGUAAAGCUAAAUUUGGUUAGCUGAUAAUUAAUCUUGGGCUGAAAUUAGAUCUGAUUUA